rnacentral:tRNA from 1 species
AGGGUUGUGGCUCAGUGGUAGAGUGCUUGCCUAGUCUGCAUGAGGCCCUAGGUUCAAUCCCUGGCACUA